AUCAGGUUUCUCUUUCUUAAAUCACAGUUACUCACUAGGAGUGAUUUCUCCAGAACCAUAACUCCUUCUUGUGUUUUAACUGGACCUCAGCCGUCAGAAGAUCUGUGGUGACAUCUCUGAUGUUUCAUCUGGGAUUAAGAGGACCUGCAGACUUGAAUGACCUGCAGCUUCAACUCGCCAUCCUGCAGCAGGUCAGAGAGCCUCAGCUUUGUUUUUCCAGCCCAGUGAAGACUUAAGAACUGGACUGGACCAGGCUGAACUGGACAUGACCAGGCUGAACUGGAUUGGACUGAGCUGGACUGGACUAGACUGGAAUGGCCUGGACUGAACUGGGCUGGACUGGAACAGGCUGGACUGAGCUGGACUGAACUUAACUGAACUGGACUGGACUAAACUGGACCUGACUGGACUAAACUGGACUGGGCUGGACUGAACUGAACUGGACUGAACUGGACUGAGCUGGACGGAACUGGACUGGACUGAGCUGGACUGGACUAAACUUGACUGAACUGAACUUGACUGGAACGGACUAAACUGGACUGAACUGGACUGAGCUGGACUGAACUGGACUGGACUGGACUAAACUUGACUGAACUGAACUGGACUGGACUGAACUGAACUGGACUGGACUGAACUGGACUGAACUAAACUUGACUGAACUGAACUGGACUUAACUGGGCUGAAGUGGACCGGACUGGUUACCUGGUGAAGACCUCAGGUUUGUUCUCUGUGUUUCAGCUGGGGGUGAAGCUGCAGGAAGGCGGAG